GAGUUUGAUCAUGGCUCAGGAUGAACGCUGGCGGCGUGCUUAACACAUGCAAGUCGAACGAACCUUCGGGUUAGUGGCGGACGGGUGAGUAACGCGUGGGAAUCUGCCCUCAGGAGGGGGAUAACGGUUGGAAACGACCGCUAAUACCCCAUAUGCCGAGAGGUGAAAUGAAUUUCGCCUGAGGAUGAGCCCGCGUCUGAUUAGCUUGUUGGUGAGGUAAUGGCUCACCAAGGCAUCGAUCAGUAGCUGGUCUGAGAGGAUGAUCAGCCACACUGGGACUGAGACACGGCCCAGACUCCUACGGGAGGCAGCAGUGGGGAAUUUUCCGCAAUGGGCGAAAGCCUGACGGAGCAACGCCGCGUGAGGGACGAAGGCCUCUGGGCUGUAAACCUCUUUUCUCAAGGAAGAAGAUAUGACGGUACUUGAGGAAUAAGCCACGGCUAAUUCCGUGCCAGCAGCCGCGGUAAUACGGGAGUGGCAAGCGUUAUCCGGAAUUAUUGGGCGUAAAGCGUCCGCAGGCGGCCUUUCAAGUCUGCUGUUAAAGCGUGGAGCUUAACUCCAUCAUGGCAGUGGAAACUGAUUGGCUUGAGUAUGGUAGGGGCAGAGGGAAUUCCCGGUGUAGCGGUGAAAUGCGUAGAUAUCGGGAAGAACACCAGUGGCGAAGGCGCUCUGCUGGGCCAUUACUGACGCUCAUGGACGAAAGCCAGGGGAGCGAAAGGGAUUAGAUACCCCUGUAGUCCUGGCCGUAAACGAUGAACACUAGGUGUCGGGGGGAAUCGACCCCUUCGGUGUCGUAGCUAACGCGUUAAGUGUUCCGCCUGGGGAGUACGCACGCAAGUGUGAAACUCAAAGGAAUUGACGGGGGCCCGCACAAGCGGUGGAGUAUGUGGUUUAAUUCGAUGCAACGCGAAGAACCUUACCAGGGCUUGACAUCCUGCGAACCUUUAAGAAAUUAGAGGGUGCCUUCGGGAACGCAGUGACAGGUGGUGCAUGGCUGUCGUCAGCUCGUGUCGUGAGAUGUUGGGUUAAGUCCCGCAACGAGCGCAACCCACGUUUUUAGUUGCCAGCAUUUAGUUGGGCACUCUAGAAAGACCGCCGGUGAUAAACCGGAGGAAGGUGUGGAUGACGUCAAGUCAUCAUGCCCCUUACGUCCUGGGCUACACACGUACUACAAUGCUACGGACAAAGGGCAGCAAACUCGCGAGAGCUAGCAAAUCCCAUAAACCGUGGCUCAGUUCAGAUCGUAGGCUGCAACUCGCCUACGUGAAGUAGGAAUCGCUAGUAAUCGCAGGUCAGCAUACUGCGGUGAAUACGUUCCCGGGCCUUGUACACACCGCCCGUCACACCAUGGAAGUUGGCCACGCCCGAAGUCGUUACUUUAACCCUUGUGGAGAAGGACGCCGAAGGUGGGGCUGAUGACUGGGGUGAAGUCGUAACAAGGUAACC
rnacentral:rRNA from 1 species